rnacentral:lncRNA from 7 species
AAGCAAUUCACCUGUGUGACUGGAAGGAGUGGACCAUCCCCUAACCUCACUUAAAGGCUGGCAGUCACAGGAUUAUUUCUUUUUUGGUGUUUGGUGGGCCCUAAUCCUCAUAAAGGGGUAUACUGCGUAGUCUGAAAUGCAUUAUAGUAACCUGUAUCUUCUGGGAAUUCUCUGUCUCCAUGAACCACGGCAGCAUUGAGUGGAGCAGAAACCGAAUUUCGGCCUUGAGAAAUCAAACUCCCUAGAUAAAGUCAUGAAGAUGCAGGUGUUUUAUGAAUUAUGUCUAAUAUUAAAUAACAGCUAUCAACAAAAUAAUCCGCCCAUGCCUUCUAUUCACCAAAAUAAUAGCAACAUAAAAAUACAUAUCAUAAAGUAGACGACCUCCAACAGUUUCCCUCUACAGCUACGUUAAAUGUACUUAAUCCAGUGUGGAUGGCAACAUAAAGCAACUUUUAUUCAUAUCCCCAUGAUUCUGCUUCACCUCAAUGAAAUGAAUACCGCUUUCAAAGAAAAUUGAAAACCAAAUCAAAACCAAAAAAACCCUACUGUCAUUAUAAUACCUGCAGAGUGAUACCACUAACGGACCUGACUGUUUGUUUCUAAGGAAGAACAGCUGUGCAACAGACUGUCUGAACAGUCACUAUUACAGAAUGCAACAUGGAUCACUGACACAAAGGAAGCACUACACCAGCUGGCUUUCUGUCUUAGAGCAUUUCUAUUCCUAGAUGAUUUACCUGUUCUCAGUCCUGUCACCUUAGCACUUCUACUACCCAAUUAAAAAAUGAUGUUGCUGAAUUCUCUCUGCUGUAAAUUAAAUAUGUUAUUUAU